rnacentral:rRNA from 1 species
CGGGUGAGUAAUGUAUAGGAACUUGCCUAGUAGUGGGGGAUAACGUGUGGAAACGCACGCUAAUACCGCAUACGCUCUACGGAGGAAAGCGGGGGAUCUUCGGACCUCGUGCUACUAGAUGGGCCUAUAUCAGAUUAGCUAGUUGGUAAGGUAAUGGCUUACCAAGGCGACGAUCUGUAGCUGGUUUGAGAGAAUGAUCAGCCACACUGGGACUGAGACACGGUCCAG